GGAAGGGAGAAAAAGCGCUACAGCCGCAACAAUCGCCACUCUGAACCAAGCUGAGAGCUCAAUCAUAUUUAUGAGUUGUGCUUUGUAUACAACAAGAACCACAGACACGGGCAAUUUAAAAGUUAUUCUAAUUGGCAAUCUCAAAGUCCAACUUUAGUAUCAGUAGUCAAUGCUGGCAAAGCAUUUCCCUUUUAAAUGACCCAAUUUUAGAAUUUCCUACUUUGGAGUUAAUUGACUGGCAGACUGGCUAAAAUUGAAACUGGCACAGGACAACACAUUCUGCUUCUGGCAUCGCAUGAUCAACAGGAUGUAUGUGUAUAAUGAUAUAUCAGUGUAAAAUUGCCUGAAUUGAUUACUUGAGCACUCAACAAGAAUUAGCUGGACAGAGGCCCUGUGGGGGGACCGGCUGGCUGUGACAGCCAAACAUCUGCCUCAAACACAAAGAACGAAGGGCGUGCGGCGUUCCACGACAGCCCGGCACUGUACGCACUUCUUCAUGAGGCUGGCACAGUCUGCGGAACACACACACAGCUGAACGCCAAGUCUGCACGUGAAGAGUAAUUUCUACAGCAACAGGCGCGAGGCCAAGGGCUGGAAUAGCACGGCUGCCUUCUUGUCGGAGCAAACUACACACUCCUCGAUCUGCGCAAGUGGACAGGACAAAUUAAAACAACGUUAAAGACGGGAGUAAGUGUAGCGGUCACCUCCCUGUUAUGUGUCUGGGAUAACAGGAGUGCCUUUGAUACCUUGGUUCUCGACUGGACCUGAUCCUUGCAGAUGAGACACUUCUUGACACGUGGUGAGCAGAGUGAGCAGGUGGCAAUGUGUCCGCAUGGCCCGAACAGAGUGUCCCUCUUCAUGUCUGAACACACCAUACACUCCUCCAGGGACUCGAUGUUGCUGUUCAGUGACGGGCUGCGGGAGCCCACCUGGCCACUGGAACACAGGGAGAAGAAGAAUCCGAGUGUUUGAGCGCAGAAGACAUUACAAGCAAAGGAUGAUGGCGAUAGAGAACAAAGAAAAAGAGGAGGAGACGGAGAGAGAAAGGAAGCUGAAGGAAGAACAAGCAAGGACACCAAAGCACUACACAAAUAUGUUUAGCAAAGGGGGAAAGAAAAUCAAUAAGAUGGCUUGAUGAUUUCCCUGAGAUGGUGUACUGAUCACAUUUCCUCUUCCAGGUGUUGUUACAGUAGCUGUGAAUGUCUGAACAUAGUCACUAACACCAUACACACUGUGUGAGUACAUCUACUGCACUGAUGUCUAUAAAAAGGGUUUCUGCACAUUUUCAAGAAAGUGUCAAUUUGAAAAGGGGACUACUGAGAAAAGGGAUAAAAAAAAAAAACUGGAGACCUAUCAGAUUAAAGGUCUGCGUGACUAGUUUGAUAAGGACCUGGAAGUAGGCUGCGCCCAGACAGGAGAUGUUUACCUGCUCUUCUCCUUGUGGCAUUUGGCCAGAGCCUUGCAGAGACUGGGGUCAGGACACAAGUCAAGAGGGGACUGGCCCUUCUUGUUACGGAUCGUCAAGUCUGCUCCAUUAGCUGCCAGGAAGCAGGCGAUAGAUGCUGCGCUCUUCUUUUCUGCCCCCUGGGUGCCCAAGCCCAUGAUUAACUGUAGGAAGAUAGACACAAAUACACAAAUAAAAUCAGAGACACAUCAGGCACUGCACACUUCAGUCUUGAGAAUCCUUUGACGGUGAAUGCAAUGGUAAUAGUGCAGGAUACAAAAAUGUACAAUUUUGCCUACCUGCCAAUGGAUGAAUAAAUAAUGAAAUAAUGUACUGGCAGCCACAGAAAUUUGUUACUGGCUUAAAAAAAAAGACAACAAAAAAUUGCUUAAUACAUUAUUUCAUUAUAAAUAACGGCCUCUUGGUGCUCCCACAUCAUUGAAACACCAGCUCUCAAUGAUUCACAAUCUCCCACUGUCACUUUUAUUAGUUGUUUCUUCAUGUGUCCGUUUUGGUGGCUAAACACCAAGAAUGUGUCACCACUUUUGUGCAUUAAGUGAUUAAGCAAUAAAAACGUAUUUUACUUGGA